rnacentral:rRNA from 1 species
AAUAUUUCGCAAUGGAGGGAACUCUUACGCAGCGACGCCGCGUGAGCGAUGAAGGUCUUCGGAUCGUAAAGCUCUGUCCUUGGGGAAGAAGGUCUUCGGACCUGACGGUACCUAAGGAGGAAGCCACGGCUAACUACGUGCCAGCAGCCGCGGUAAUACGUAGGUGGCAAGCGUUGUCCGGAAUCAUUGGGCGUAAAGCGCGCGCAGGCGGUCCUUUAAGUCUGAUGUGAAAGCCCCCGGCUUAACCGGGGAGGGUCAUUGGAAACUGGGAGGCUUGAGUGCAGAAGAGGAAAGUGGAAUUCCAAGUGUAGCGGUGAAAUGCGUAGAGAUUUGGAGGAACACCAGUGGCGAAGGCGACUUUCUGGACUGUAACUGACGCUGAGGUACGAAAGCGUGGGUAGCGAACA